GAUUAACGCUGGCGGCGUGCCUAACACAUGCAAGUCGAACGAUGAAACUUUAAUGACCCCUUCGGGGAGAAUUAAAGCGGAUUAGUGGCGAACGGGUGAGUAACGCGUGAGUAACCUGCCUUACACAAGGGGAUAGCCUUUGGAAACGAAGAAUAAUACCCUAUAAAACCAUAAAAGCACAUGCAAUUAUGGUCAAAGUGAUAGCGGUGUAAGAUGGACUUGCGUCUGAUUAGCUAGUUGGUGAGAUAAAAGCCCACCAAGGCAACGAUCAGUAGCCGGCUUGAGAGAGUGUACGGCCACAUUGGGACUGAGACACGGCCCAGACUCCUACGGGAGGCAGCAGUGGGGAAUUUUGCACAAGGGGGGAAACCCUGAUGCAGCGACGCCGCGUGAUUUAGAAGGCCUUCGGGUUGUAAAAAUCUUUUGUAUAGGAAGAAAAUGACAGUACUAUACGAAUAAGGUCCGGCUAAUUACGUG
rnacentral:rRNA from 1 species